rnacentral:rRNA from 1 species
GGAUAAGCUCGGGAAACUGAGAAUAUACCCCAUAGUCCACUACGCCUGGAACGGUGAGUGGAUGAAAGCUCCGGCGGCAUAGGAUGGGCCUGCGGCGUAUCAGGUUGUAGGGGGUGUAACGUACCCUCUAGCCAUCCACGCGUACGGGUGUUGGGAGACAUUGCCCGGAGAUGGAUUCUGAGACACGAAUCCAGACCCUACGGGGUGCAGCAGGCGCGAAAACUUGGCAAUGCGAGAAAUCGUGACCAGGGAACUCCAAGUGGCAGGGGUAAGACCCUGUCUUUUUUCGACUCUAAAUAGGUCGACGAAUAAGGGGUGGGUAAGGACGGUGCCAGCCGCCGCGGUAAUACCGGCGCCUCAAGUGGUAGUCGCUUUUAUUGGGCCUAAAACGUCCGUAGCCGGUCUGGUACAUUCGUGGGUAAAUCAACUCGCUCAACGAGUUGCAUUCUGCGAGGACGGCCAGACUUGGGACCGGGAGAGGUGUGGGGUACUCUCAGGGUAGGGGUAAAAUCCUGUCAUCCUGAGAGGACCACCUGUUGCG